rnacentral:rRNA from 1 species
UGGGGAAUCUUGGACAAUGGGCGCAAGCCUGACGACGCAACGCCGCGUGGAGGAUGAAGGUCUUCGGAUCGUAAACUUCUGUUGCCCGGGACGAAUAGCUUAGACCUAAUACGUCUGAGUAUGACGGUACCGGGUGAGGAAGCCCCGGCUAACUCUGUGCCAGCAGCCGCGGUAAUACAGAGGGGGCUAGCGUUGCUCGGAAUCACUGGGCGUAAAGGGUGCGUAGGCGGGUCUUUAAGUCAGGGGUGAAAUCCUGGAGCUCAACUCCAGAACUGCCUUUGAUACUGAAGAUCUUGAGUUCGGGAGAGGUGAGUGGAACUGCGAGUGUAGAGGUGAAAUUCGUAGAUAUUCGCAAGAACACCAGUGGCGAAGGCGGCUCACUGGCCCGAUACUGACGCUGAGGCACGAAAGCGUGGGGAGCAAACAGGAUUAGAUACCCGAGUAGUCCCUGAGCGGGCUGGCAAGGCGCAU